CUAUUACCUCACCUCUUCCUCAGACUCUUCUUUUCCUCUUUCUUGUCCUCCUUACUUUCUCCAACAUUUUCCACCUGCUGCAUCUUACUGGCCUUCUCUUUCUUCACUUGCUUUUUUCCCUUGGUCUUUUUCCUUUUGACCUUCCCUUCCUGAAUAUUUUGGACAAGGAGAUAAAGUAAUAUAAGCUUAUGGCUAUUUUCUACUCUUGAGCUAUGGUAUCUAGAGGUAUGAUAUACUGUAGAAGGAAAUAUGGCCAAUAUUCCCUUCCUGUUUCCUCUCACCUGUGGCGUCACUCCUGACAUUUUCUGGAGCAGCUUCCUGCCGUUCUCACUCAGGUUGGUGAUUGGGGCCAGGCGAGGGCUGCGGUGGUAUGGUAAGUACUCCACAGCAGGCGAAGCAACAAUGACAGAGACAGGGCUUAGAGGUGUCGGAGGCUUUGGGACAUCCUUUUGGGAGGGACGGGCCACAGCAGAGGGCAGGGCUUGUAGGGCUUCAGCCGGGGUGCUGAGGUCACAAGAGGAGAGAGGCCAGACACAGGACCAGAGACUUUCCCUGGGCUCUGUAAGACCAGAAACAACAAACAAACUGUUAGGACAAAAAACAAAACCUGUUCAGCUUUGAUAUCAACAGUACAAUCUCUUUCUUCAAUCAGCUUGUUUCAGCUAAUCUUUUGCCGCAUAGUCUGCCCUAGCUGACGCUGUGCAGAGAAUACUACGAUUGGAAACGGUUGGUUAGACCCGUUCGCACUGCACAAGGUGAUUUGGAGAUUAGAAUGUCUGGUAGGCUCUUACAUUCUUUGGGGAGGUCCCAAAUGGCACCCUGUAGUGUAGUACUUUUGACCUGUGCCCAAUGGGCUCAGAUCAAAAUAAGUGCACAAGUCAAAGUAAGUGCGCUAUAUAGGGAAUGGCGUGCCAUUUGUCUGUGUGUGUGUGUGUUAGGAUAUGUUUUUUGCCAAUCAAUUGAUGAAAAUGUAUCCCUCAGAAAACAAGAUGUAUCGUAGUGAUGAGAGAAUCAAAAGAGCUUUAAGGCGCCGCCCUUAUGUGGUAAAUACCUAUUUAGUUAUUUUGUGUUCUGUCUUUAUCACAUUUUAAAUUGAGUGUUGUGUUGACAGUUGAAUCCAGUGAGGGUGAACUCCCCUGAUUCUGUGAUGUGGCCAACCGGUAAGGUGCACAGAAGACCAAGGCCUUCUACUUCAGCGCAGACCCCUCAGAUCCACAAAAGGCCUCCAAUCACUGAGAACUGUGGGCAGGAACAGACAUCUGGGGAUGGACGGGACAUGAAU